UAUGCGCACAAAUUUUGGCAUAGACAUCAGCGAAAGCACAGAAUGAAGUGUGCGAAAUAAUCACCGCUGGAAUCGCACUAUUGCCAACAGAGAUACCCACCUUGGCAAGGAAUGAUUGAGACAGGAAAUGCAAAGAUACUUUCAGCAGCUAACAUCUUCUCAGAGUUUCUCCAUUCACCGGUAAAGCACACCUUCAGACCACCGCAUGUCCCUCCACAACCGGAUCCAAAGAUUCAAUCAGCUCCCCAGUAAUGAGCUCGAAAAGUGAAGAAGCUAACAACAGUGAAGAGGAGGUCCAUACGCUUUUUGUCACUGGUCUUCCUAUGGAUAUUUAACCACAUGAGCUUUACCUUCUCUUUCAAUCAUUUAAGGGAUUAUAUAAGGUUCACUGAUCAAGCUAACAUCAAAACAGCCAGUUGGCUUGUUACAUUUGACAGCAGAGUGGGAGCAGAAGCAGCAACAAAUGCUGUAUUCACCCACCCUGCUGCACUGCACACUCAGAUGCGCUGGUAUCCCACAUCUGAAGCAUCUCCACAAGAAUUGAAGUCUUGUCAGUUUUGGUAAGUAUUUAACUGCCAUUAUCCAAGAACUCAGAUUUCUCUGUGGAGUGAUGCAGAGUGAAAGAUGGGAUUUUGUUUUCAGGUUGGACUUUACUGAAGGACAGUUUGGAUAACUGGCUCGUUUCCACUCAACUUGGAGGGGGUGGAGUGGUCAGUAAGGACUGUGGAUUUAAGAACUUUAUUGGUGAUCUUUUUUACCAAGAGGAAAGGUCCUGUGGAUCCUAUUUACUGCAUGGACUAGUCAUUUUUGUUGUUAUAAUUGUAUGUUGUGUGUCAAUAACUUGCUUAAACACUGGCUGUCAGAGACUUAAGAAUAAACUGGUAGCAUCAUCUAGGUGGUUAUCAUGAAAUGAUAAAAGGAGGGAGUGUGAUAUUAAAGAGUUAAUUUGCUCUGCUGACCUGCAGGGAAUUGAAUGUCCUGAGACUAGGGUGGGAUGCCUCUGACUUAGAGGUAGAUGGUAAGGAAUACACAUUCCCAUCCUUUGCCAUUCAGAGCCAUUUACAUGGCCAUCUCCUAUUAUUCAGAGAUAACUUACAUUUGCAUCAUCAUCCUUUUCAAAAUCAGUAAGAACAUUGCAGUUGGAAUUUUGACUACUCCCUGUAGUUAAAAAAAAACUUGCAACAGAUUUGACCAUUAAGGGAUGAUUUAAAUUACACUGUUUCUGGAAAUGAUGUCGUCACUGCAUUGUGUCUUGAGUAGCAUGUGACUGUGAGGGAGUGGCGGGGGGGUGGGCUUGUCUUGUAUGCAUUACUGUCAUGUAAAGAUUUUGUAUAAGGAAAGAACUGUUUCCUUUGUUCAGAGAUCCCUUGACAUGGCUUCACAAGCAUUGCAAAGUGUGUUAAAGGGUUCCUCCAGAGAGCUUCCUGUACUUGCCUAAUAAAUUUUGCUUGUUCACAGAA